CCGGAUCCUUGCUGCAGCGUCAGCGCCGCCGCCCGUGCCUUUCCUCUUCCUCCUCCUCCGUCCUCCCCCGCUGCCUCCGCUGCUCCCGACGCAGAGCCCGGAGCCCGCGCCGAGCCCCCGGCCUCGCGGUGCCAUGCUGCCCCGGCGGCGGCACUGAAGGAUGGCGACGCCGCUGCCUCCGCCCUCCCCGCGGCACCUGCGGCUGUUGCGGCUGCUGCUCUCCGGCCUCGUCCUCGGCGCCGCCCUGCGUGGAGCCGCCGCCGGCCACCCGGAUGUAGCCGCCUGUCCCGGGAGCCUGGACUGUGCCCUGAAGAGGCGGGCAAGGUGUCCUCCUGGUGCACAUGCCUGUGGGCCCUGCCUUCAGCCCUUCCAGGAGGACCAGCAAGGGCUCUGUGUGCCCAGGAUGCGCCGGCCUCUGGGUACGAGAGCAAAGGGGGAAGUCAAUGGGGGGAUGUCCCUGCGUGAACCUCUCCCCG
rnacentral:sRNA from 1 species